rnacentral:lncRNA from 10 species
GGGCCCUGGGUAGGUUCCUGUGGUAUUAGGUGGACUGGAGAAAGAGGCCCGCGUGAAUUAAGUGUAGUUCUCUUAUGCACUGGCGGACUCUGGUCGCCCUUCCUUGUGAAGGCUGCCUGGGUAGCCGUAGAGGACGAGGCCACUCUAAAGCCUCGUUUUCCCAGCGGAAUUUUAACUAUUCUAAGGAUGUCCUUACAGCCAGUUCCCCACUCCGCUACUCAGAGUGUGUCAGACUUUACCCUGUCCAUUCAACUCCAGAAAAACCGGGAGGUCUAGAUUCGGAAGAUUAAAUUUACCUUUGAAUUAGGACAUGUAAAAUAGGAAGUUAAUAUUAGCAUCCUAAUGACAAAAGUUUUCUCGUUAUCAUACUUGACUCAAAUGGGAAUCUUACGGAUAUUAAUGUUUUUUCCAGAAACAGGUUUGAAAGGUAUUUCAAGGAUAAAUCUGGGGAAAGGGAUGGAAGCAACUGAUUUUUAAUUUUUAGAUAGUACUCUCAGAGCAUUUAUUUAGUCCAAAACUGUUAAUUUAAUGAAUUAGGCUAAACUAGACGCUGGGGUAACAAAGCUGAGUUAGAUACCCUCUCCUCUGAGGCAGCUAAAGAGAAGGAAAGUCUGGUGGCUGACAAGUAAACCAACAGUUAUGUUCUUCAGAGAGGAGAUCUCAGACUCUCUAAGGUAUACUUCACUUCCACACUGUUUGUACUUUGCAAAUGUACCCUGCCCCCUAAAAUGUAAACUCACUGAUGGUAGUGACAUAAUCUUGUCUUUUUAAUGUAUCCUCAACCAUACAACAGUGCCUGUCCACAAAGUAGACAAUAAAUACUUAUUGAAUGACUGAAUGAUCACAGUGGUAAAUAAUAGAUUGGGGAAAUCUAGAAAAGUGUAUAGGACAAGAAGAAAGUGGUGUAAGUAAGUGGCGGGAGAUAAGGAGCAGUAAAAGGUGAGAGAAUCCACUGGAGUUAGCCAGAACUGAGUACCUGAAUGAAUCUCGGGCAUUGCAAGACUGUUAGGGCUUCAUUUCCGGAAAGAACUCAAAUGGUUUGUAGAGUGACACUUUAUACUGAAGAGGAAGGCAACAGCCAGAUUCUGAAAAGCUUUCUAUGUCAUGCUGAGUAAUUUGAUUUUCUGCUGCAGACAAUUGGGGAAGCUGAAGGAUUGUUGAACAGAGGAG